rnacentral:lncRNA from 1 species
AUGAGUAAAUAAAUGAGCUAGCUAUAUUAAGGUCCUUAAUCUGAGGUCCACAGAUGGAGUGUUUGCCAUGUCCAAUACUACAUGCAAAAAUACACGCGUCUAUUUGAGGAUGUUUUUCUGGAUGGAAAGCUCCGUCCGGACACCAUCCAACGGUACGAUUCAACAAACCGUAGCUUCAUCUUGAUCACCUGGAAAUGCUCUUGGCCUUUGCAAAAUGGACGAAGAGGCUAACAAUGAAAAUACUGGAGGAAAUUUGCUCUAAGUUAGUCCCCAGAGAAACCAUUAGGUCGGGGAUUUCAUAAACCGUGCUGUAAUUUGCUACAAUGUAGGUAAAAGAUUUGGGGUGGAUGUCUAGAAGUGUAAGUUAAGCCUAUGCCUGUCGACAAGAUGGUAGGAGGGAAGAGUAGAAGGCGAUACAUAAUACAGACGUGAUUCAUAAAUGCAGUGUUCUGUGUAUGUGAAAA